rnacentral:rRNA from 1 species
GAGUCAUUGGGACUCUACUAAACCUAAAGGCGCAAUGAAAGUAAAGGUCCGCCUAGCGCGGACCGAGGGAGGAUGGGACCGCCCUCGGGCGGACCCCGCACUCCCGGGGCGUCUCGUUCUCAUCGCGAGGAGAGGCGCACCCAGAGCGUACACGCUGGGACCCGAAAGAUGGUGAACUAUGCCUGGUCAGGACGAAGUCAGGGGAAACCCUGAUGGAGGUCCGUAGCGAUUCUGACGUGCAAAUCGAUCGUCGGAACUGGGUAUAGGGGCGAAAGACUAAUCGAACCUUCUAGUAGCUGGUUCCCUCCGAAGUUUCCCUCAGGAUAGCUGGCGCUCGCCUUUGCGAGUCUCAUUCGGUAAAGCGAAUGAUUAGAGGCAUUGGGGUCGAAACGGCCUCAACCUAUUCUCAAACUUUAAAUGGGUGAGAUCUCCGGCUUGCUUGAAAAGUGAAGCCGCGAGAGAUCGGAUCACAGAGUGCCAAGUGGGCCACUUUUGGUAAGCAGAACUGGCGCUGUGGGAUGAACCAAACGCAGAGUUAAAGCGCCCAAAUCGACGCUUAUGGGAUACCAUGAAAGGCGUUGGUAACUUAAGACAGC